UGGCCACAUCACAUUGAAGCACCAGUUCCUGUAUGAGCAUUGAACUUAAGCAACAUCAUGCUGGGUCAGUACUUAGAUGGGUGACCGCUUGGGAAUAACAGAUGUUAU